AAUAGAUACCCUGGUAGUCCUAGCCGUAAACGAUGAACACUAGGCGUAGUCGGUAUCGACCCCGGCUGUGCCGUAGCUAACGCAUUAAGUGUUCCGCCUGGGGAGUACGGCCGCAAGACUAAAACUCAAAGGAAUUGACGGGGGCCCGCACAAGCAGCGGAGCAUGUUGCUUAAUUCGAGGCAACGCGAAGAACCUUACCUGGGUUUGACAUGUACGGAAAAGCCGCAGAGAUGCGGUGUCCUUUUGAGCCGUACACAGGUGGUGCAUGGUUGUCGUCAGCUCGUGUCGUGAGAUGUUGGGUUAAGUCCCGCAACGAGCGCAACCCUUGUCCUAUGUUGCCAGCGGGUAAUGCCGGGGACUCGUAGGAGACUGCCGGGGACAACUCGGAGGAAGGUGGGGAUGACGUCAAAUCAUCAUGCCCCUUAUGUCCAGGGCUGCAAACAUGCUACAAUGGCCAGUACAAAGGGCUGCUAUACCGCGAGGUUGAGCGAAUCCCAUAAAGCUGGUCUCAGUUCGGAUUGGAGU
rnacentral:rRNA from 1 species